rnacentral:rRNA from 1 species
CCUACAGGGGGCUGCAGUGGGGAAUAUUGGACAAUGGGGGCAACCCUGAUCCAGCCAUGCCGCGUGUGUGAAGAAGGCCCUCGGGUUGUAAAGCACUUUCAGUGAGGAAGAACGCCUGGUGGUUAAUACCCAUCAGGAAAGACAUCACUCACAGAAGAAGCACCGGCUAACUCCGUGCCAGCAGCCGCGGUAAUACGGAGGGUGCGAGCGUUAAUCGGAAUUACUGGGCGUAAAGCGCGCGUAGGUGGCUUGAUAAGCCGGUUGUGAAAGCCCCGGGCUCAACCUGGGAACGGCAUCCGGAACUGUCAAGCUAGAGUGCAGGAGAGGAAGGUAGAAUUCCCGGUGUAGCGGUGAAAUGCGUAGAGAUCGGGAGGAAUACCAGUGGCGAAGGCGGCCUUCUGGACUGACACUGACACUGAGGUGCGAAAGCGUGGGUAGCAAACAGGAUUAGAUACCCGAGUAGUC